rnacentral:lncRNA from 1 species
UCCAUCUUCAACGUGGAAUUCCUUCAACUGCCAUGUCCAAAGGAAGGACUCUUAUAAGAGAGUUCAAAUCAUUUAUAUUCUUUGGAAGAGAAACAGAGACCAUUAAGCUGUC